rnacentral:rRNA from 1 species
AGUGAACGCUGGCGGUAGGCCUAACACAUGCAAGUCGAACGGCAGCACAGGAGAGCUUGCUCUCUGGGUGGCGAGUGGCGGACGGGUGAGGAAUACAUCGGAAUCUACUCUGUCGUGGGGGAUAACGUAGGGAAACUUACGCUAAUACCGCAUACGACCUACGGGUGAAAGCAGGGGACCUUCGGGCCUUGCGCGAUUGAAUGAGCCGAUGUCGGAUUAGCUAGUUGGCGGGGUAAAGGCCCACCAAGGCGACGAUCCGUAGCUGGUCUGAGAGGAUGAUCAGCCACACUGGAACUGAGACACGGUCCAGACUCCUACGGGAGGCAGCAGUGGGGAAUAUUGGACAAUGGGCGCAAGCCUGAUCCAGCCAUACCGCGUGGGUGAAGAAGGCCUUCGGGUUGUAAAGCCCUUUUGUUGGGAAAGAAAUCCAGCUGGCUAAUACCCGGUUGGGAUGACGGUACCGUAAGAAUAAGCACCGGCUAACUACGUGCCAGCCGCCGCCGUAA